rnacentral:lncRNA from 1 species
GCCACGUGGUCGGCUCUGCCUGCUGCUCCCGGCGCCGUGGAACAGUUGCCGGUAACCCGCUGCGUUGUGUACACGUAUGGCCUUACAAAUCUCAGAAUACUGAGAUCUCUGUUUUCCGACUGGUGCACGAGAUGGGGUAUGUUGGGGCAGACAGCAAAGACUCAGCGGAAGACCGAAUCAGGCACAGCAGCAGUGAACCAAGGAGCGACUCUUCAUAUCAGAGAUGGAAAAUCAGGUUCAGAAGUAAACUCUGAAUUGCAACCCCCUGAAAAACAAAGCUUCUCUUCCAGUUUCUCCUACGUCAAUAAUGACAGCAUGAAAAAUUUCAGAAGCCAUUGAAUGGGAGUUGACAAUUUUGUAACGUGUAAAGGUGGGCAAGAAUCUCAAGGAUGAUGCAGAUAUAGCAUAUAACAGUACUU